rnacentral:lncRNA from 1 species
CACACAUUCACAGGUGCUUCCUGUUUUUUCAAACACCUUGCCCACCUUCUGCACACCAAGCGUGGAUUCUGCAAAAUGUAAGCCCAACAGGAAGCUGCCUGCAAUUUCAGGUAGCUUUUCUGACUCUUGAAAAGAUCUUGAGUAUACUUUCAGAGAAAUGCCAGCAAAAACUGUAGUCAUUUGGGAAGGAACAAUUCUGGAAGAAAGAGAUACAGCGAACUAGCACAAAGAGGUUUGAAAGGUUCGUGACAGCUCACAGCUCAUGAUGGUGGCAAUCUUGAGGAUACAGAAAACUCAUUCCUCAUGCAGGGAAGAAGAAAAUAUUCUAAAGAAGUGAUAAGCAUAUUCCAUGAAAUCAAGAAAGUCUGGCUCUGUGAUUUGCCUAAAACCAACAGAAGGCUGCAGAAGGAACAUCAUAUGACUUCAGAGUCUCAGCAGCAAAAGGCCUUUCAGCUUCUGAAAAGCUGUUGUUGCUGUGAGAUAGGAAGCCUGGCCAGUUUCCAUGAGAAUGGGAGAGCACACCUGGUCAACAGGGAGAGCCAGCCUUCAGCCAUGUGAGUGAGACCAUCCAGCCUCACUUAAGCUGCCGGAUGACUGAAGCCAGGUAAGUGACCACAGGCAAGACCAGCAAAAGAACAACUGACUGAGCCCAGCCCAAAUUGUUAAGGCAUAGCAAUUCAGGAAAAGACAAAUUUUUGUGUUUUAAAUUAGGAUUUGUUAUGGAGAAAUAGAUAACUGAUAAAGCUCCAAAUCCUAAUCGAUACAAGAAAAUCAACACCUUUUAUAUUACCAUGACACAAACUAUUUUCUUAAUAGUCAUCAUUAAAGCUUUAUAUUUCUAACUGCCCUUCCUCUACUACGAGGACUACUGUGCUGGUGCAUUUAAGUGAGUGUAUACACACAAAGACAUAUUCUUCAGUUUCCCAACUAGUUACUCAUUUACUCUGUUGGACUUUCAUUUCCAAAUAUUGCUAUAUUUCCAGUUCAGUACAAUUAACUAGCUUCACUCCCAUAUAUCCAGCUCUUUCUGUCUGUGAAGAGAGGCUUACUAUUACUUAUUAUGUACCAGGAACUGUUUCUCAGUAUCACUUUGUCAGGCAGGUGACCAUUACUCUGCUCAUUUUAUAUACAAGAUAACUGAGGUUCAGUAGAUGGCCAUUCUACCAAUUUCAUACUCCCUCAUUUAAGUCAGCCUGCAAGAGGUUUUAAAGCAAAUGUCUCUACAUUUAAAAAGAAAGUCUCUACCUUUCUUAAAAUAUGUCCUUCACUUGGUUUCCAACCAUCACACUUUCCUGGUUUUCUCAUAACCUUGAUUUCUCAGUCCCUUUGAUGACUUUUCUUCAAGCUCAUUCAAUGUCCGAAUGCCCUAAGUUUUUACAUUUGAUCCUAUUAUUUUCUCUAUCAAUAACUACUGGACAGGUGAUUUCAUCUAGUCAACCAUGACAUUCAGAAUCAACUGCAAAAUAGAGAUAGGAGUCAAAGAGAAGAGAUAAAUAUAUUACUCUUAUUACUUAUUUUUAAAAUAUUUAUAUUGGAAAAUAUGAUUGGGAUACCUACUAACCCAUACAAACACAAGAACAUCUGGGCAACCACAGGCCUCCUCCAAUGCAAAUUAGGGUGAAAAACUCACAGUAUGAAGGAUUAAAAAAUGUAUAUUCUCUGAAGGCAGAUAUGCCCUUCCAGAUACAAGAAAGUGAAUGAACCAUUAAUACUGAGUUCUUUCUCCCAAGCUGACCAAUCAGUUAUGUCGAUUUGUCUUUCCCAGGGAAGAGUCAUCUUUUGUAACACUGAUGGAGGUCUGUGAGAAGUCACAAUUGUAACACUGAUGGAAGUCCCCUAUAGAAACAUAAAUAUUUGGAAAUAUGUGUUUCCCCCAUAACAAAUAUUGUCCUUAUCCUGUGGCUUUCCAUUAUGUCUCCACUCUCAAUAUCUUCCCUGAGCCUCAGAAUUAUAUGUACACCUGUCUAUUCAGUCUCUGCUUGAAAGCCUAAAGAGCAUUUCAAACUCAACAUGUCAAAGAAGGUACCUUUCUUUCUCUUUCUUCCUUUCUUUCUUUCUUUCUUUCUUUCUUUCUUUCUUUCUUUCUUUCUUUCUUUCUUUCUUUCUCUUUCCUUUCUUUUUCUUUCUUUCCUUUUUUUUUGAGAUGGAGUUUCGCUCUUGUUACCCAGGAUGGGGUGCAAUGGUGCAAUCUCAGCUCACCGCAACCUCCACCUCCUGGGUUCAGGCAAUUCUUCUGCCUCAGCCUCCUCAGUAGCUGGGAUUACAGGCAUGUGCCACCACGCCCAGCUAAUUUUUUGUAUUUUUAGUAGAGACCGAGUUUCACUCUUUUUUUCUUUCUUUCUUCUUCUUCUUCUUCUUUUUUUUUUUUUUUAACUAUCUCUUUACUCCUGUUUAGUUUGGUAGGGUUGCCUCUUUACUCCUCUUUAGUUUGGAAGCUUCAACAGCAGAAUCUGUAUCCUCUCACAGUUCUAGAGGCGGGGAGUCCAAGAUUAAGGAGCCAGCAGUGUUGGUUUCUCCUGCUAUCUUUCUCCUUGGAUACCUUCUUACUAUGUCCUCACAUGGCCUUUUCUCUGCACACACACAUCUCUGGUGUCUCUCCCUUCUUAUAAGGAAUCAACCACAUUAAAUUAGAGACCCACCCUUAUUAUCUCAUUUAACCUUAAUUACCUCCUUAAAGCCCCUAUCUUCAAACAUAGUCACAUAACUGGUUAUACUGGUUCCUUUCCUGCCCUACUACAGUCUAUUUCUCAUAGAUCCACCAGAGUCAUCCUGAAAGUAAAUCAGAUAUCAUUGCUCCUCUACUUUGCAUUCUCUAGUGACUUCUCAUUACACUUAGAAUAAAACCCAACUCCAGUUUAUAACCCACUUUCAUCUACCCUUGCCCACCUCACCAUCCUUAGUAUACAUUACUCUUCCCCAUCAUUCACUCAACUCCAGUCACUUUGGCCACCUUGAC